rnacentral:lncRNA from 1 species
UUUUUAUAGAAUGUGAUUGUGUAUGUUAACUUAAUAAGUUUUAAUUAUUUAUAAUUAUUAAAUUUGAUAAAAAAAAGAGAGAGAAUCAUUUAAAUUUUUAAAGUUUGAUUUUCAUAUUAAAAUUAAAUAAAUUGAAAAUUUUAAUGUUUCCAUUAAUAAAUUGAAAAAUUGUUGAAAAAUAUAAAAAUAUUAUAUAUAUCUGCUUAUUUAUUUAUAAAUAGUACGUUUAAAUGAUUAAUAAAAUUAUACAAUCAUGUUAUGCAUAGUGAAGGUAAUCUCACCACUCUAUUUAAAGAGGUGAUAAAAUUCACAAAUACAAUUAUCAUCUUCAUAUUACCAAACAGAAAAAAAUGUAGCUGCAGCAGUUGCAACUGUAUAAAACCAAACAGACUAGUGUAGUUACAACUACAGCAUUUGCAACUGCAUAUAUUUUCAACUACACUAUUUCUGCAGCUACAUCCAACCAAACGGCCCCUUAAAGUAGUUUGCAUUGUAUUAAUAAGUGAUAUUUCAUUGUGAGAGAUGAAUUGUAUUCUAUCGUUAUUUACUGAAU